rnacentral:tRNA from 1 species
GCGGACGUGGCGAAAUAUGGCAAACGCAUAUGGUUUAGGGCCAUAUACUAAUUUUUAGUUUGAGGGUUCAAAUCCCUCCGUCCGCA